CAGUCGAGCGAUGGAUUAAGAGCUUGCUCUUAUGAAGUUAGCGGCGGACGGGUGAGUCACUCGUGGGUAACCUACCCAUAAGACUGGGAUAACUCCGGGAAACCGGGGCUAAUACCGGAUAAUAUUUUGAACUGCAUAGUUCGAAAUUGAAAGGCGGCUUCGGCUGUCACUUAUGGAUGGACCCGCGUCGCAUUAGCUAGUUGGUGAGGUAACGGCUCACCAAGGCGACGAUGCGUAGCCGACCUGAGAGGGUGAUCGGCCACACUGGGACUGAGACACGGCCCAGACUCCUACGGGAGGCAGCAGUAGGGAAUCUUCCGCAAUGGACGAAAGUCUGACGGAGCAACGCCGCGUGAGUGAUGAAGGCUUUCGGGUCGUAAAACUCUGUUGUUAGGGAAGAACAAGUGCUAGUUGAAUAAGCUGGCACCUUGACGGUACCUAACCAGAAAGCCACGGCUAACUACGUGCCAGCAGCCGCGGUAAUACGUAGGUGGCAAGCG
rnacentral:rRNA from 1 species